UACGAAAGGGGCUAGCGUUGUUCGGAAUUACUGGGCGUAAAGCGCACGUAGGCGGCUUUUCAAGUCGGGGGUGAAAUCCCGGGGCUCAACCCCGGAAUUGCCUCCGAAACUGGAUGGCUAGAGGCCGUGAGAGGUGAGUGGAAUUCCGAGUGUAGAGGUGAAAUUCGUAGAUAUUCGCAGGAACACCAGUGGCGAAGGCGACUCGCUGGAUCAUUGCUGACGCUGAGACGCGAAAGCGUGGGGAGCAAGCAGG
rnacentral:rRNA from 1 species